UCUUUUCUCCACAUCCUCACCAACAUUUGUUAUUUUUAAUGACAGCUAUUCUGACAGGUUGAGAUGAUAUCUCAUUGUGUGUUAAUUUGCAUAUGUCCCUGAUGAUUAAUACAUUGAGCACUUUUCAGGUGCCUGUUGGCCAUCUGCCUUUCCUUCUCAGAAAAAAUGUCUAUUUAGUUCUUCUGCUCAUUUCUUUUUUUUUAGGGCCACACCCAUGGCAUGUGGAAGUUCCCAGGCUAGGGGUCAAAUCAGAGCUGCUGGCCUACACCACAGCCACAGCAAUGCCAGAUCCAAGCCGCAUCUGCAACCUACAGCACAGCUCACAGCAAUGCCAGAUUCUUAACCCACUGAGUGAAGCCAAGGAUCAAACCCGCGUUCUUGUGGAUACUAAUCAGGUUCAUUUCUGCUGAGCCACAAUGGGAACUCAUUUUAAUUAGAUUUUUUUUUAAUAUUUAAGCUGUUUAUAUAUUUUGGAUAUUACUCUCUUGUCAGUGGCAUCUUUUGCAAAUAUUUCCUCCUAUUAUGUAGGUUAUCUUUUUGUUAAUGGUUUCCAUUGCUGUGCAGAAGCUUUUAAUUAAGUCUCAUUUGUUUAUUUUUGCUUUUAUUUCCUUUAUUUUAGGAGACCUGCAAUUUAUGUAAAAGAGAGUUCUGCCUAUGUUUUCCUUAGGAGUAUUGUAGUACCCAUGAUCUUUCAUGACCUGAUAGCUCAUUUCUUUUUUGCACUGAAUAAUAUAUAUUGUAUGGAAGUAUCAUAGUUGAUUUAUCCUUUCACCUAUUGAAAGAUAUCUAAGUUGCUUCUGAGUUUUGGCAAUUGUGAAUAAAGCUGCUUUAAACAUGCAUCUGCAUGUUUUCAUGUAGCCAUAAAGUUUUAACUCCUUUGGGUAAAUACCCAAGAGCAUGACUCUUAGAUGAUACGGUAUGCUUAGUUUUAUAGAAAAAUGCCAAACAGUCUUCCAAGUUGUCUGUACCAUUUUGCAUUCCCACCAGCAAUGGAUGAGAGGCCCUAUUGUUCCACAUUCUCACCAGCAUUUGGUGUGGUCAGUGUCCUGGAUAUUGUCCAUUCUAACAGGCGUGUAAUGUUGUAUCACUUUUGUUUAAUUUGCAUUCUCCUGAUGAUAUGUAAUGUGGAGCAAGGUUUCAUAUGCUUAUUUACCUCCUGUAUAUAUUCUUUGGCUCAUAUGCUUAUUUACUCCUAUAUAUCUUCUUUGGUGUGGUAGAUGUUACAGUUUUUGGCCCAUAUUUUAAUCAAGUUGUUUAUUUAUUGUUGAAUUUUGGGAAUCCUUUGUAAAUUCUGAAUAGCAAUCACUUAUCAGAUGUGCCCAUUACAAAUAUCUUCCCCCAAUCUGUGUCUUGUCCUUUCAUCUUCUUGACAGCGUUUUUUAUGGAGCAGAAAUUUUUAAUUUUAAUGAAGUCCAGUUUAUCAAUUCUUCUGUUUUGUUGUUGUAUCUGAAAAUCAUUGCCAAACUCAAGGUCAUGUAGAUUAUCCCCUGAAUGAUUUUCUAGGAGUUUUAUAGCUUUGCAUGUCAUAUUUAGAUCUGUGACCCAUUUUGAGCUAAUUUUUGAAAGGUGUAAGGUCUAUGUAAGACUUUUUUUUUUUUUUUUUUUUGGUAUAUAGAUAUCCAGUUGUUCCAGCAUCGCUUGUUGAAAAGAAUGUCUUUGCUCCAUUUUAUUGCCUUUAUACCUUUGUCAAAAUCAGUUGAGUAUAUUCUUGCGGGGCUAUGUCUGGAGAAAACUGCUGUUUGAGAGCCUAGGUGAAAGGUGACCAUGCUUAGUGAGCCAGGGCAUCGCAAAAAUUAGACUGUGCCACACACUGUGUAGCAGCAAUAAGCUGUGAUAGCAAGAAGCUAAUUCCACCCUAGCAUUUGACUGUGGAAGUCCAGAUUAACCCCUUGUUAAAUUGUGUAAGUGUCUGAAGUACAAGGAGAGGGGUUCUCAAGAAGAAAAUAUUAAACUGCCUACUAAUUAGAAGCAAGAGUGCUUAAGCAAUUAAGAAGAAAUGCAGAAGAUGUGUGUGCAUAUUUUUAAUUUGGACACGUAAACCCCACUGCUGUUAUAUAUGAAGUCACGUAUGCACACAUAUGUGUUUACACAUAUUUUUCCAUCAUCAGGCUUUCUGCACACCUCAAUCACUCAAACAUGAAGUAAUAAAAAUUUCCACUCUGAACAACUAUUAGAAAAAUCAACAGUAUUAGUAGCAUCAGAUGGUGAUACCCAAUGUGAAAGAUUAGAUUCCCAGCAUCAGCAGAAUAGUCUCCACUUGCACUUUAGUCAGAGAGACAGGUGGAUAUUUUGAGCUCUGGUAAGCAGUAAAGUUUUUAUGUGUCUCUCUGGAAAUGAAUUUGGAUUGAUGACUCAUCUGUCAUCAGCUGCUUGGAAAUACUGAACCAUUUGGUAAGUAAUGUGGACAGAUUCUUAUCCACCGUUUCCUCUAUCUUGCUGUCUUUGUUGCCUGUCUAAUACAAAGAUCCAUUUCUAAUUAAAGUGGAGCUUUGAAAGAAGACAAGGUGAGGGUAGAGAGAAAUUAAUUUGAUCAUUCUGGACAAACAGAAAAGCUUCCAGUGUCAGGAGAUAAAGAAGAGAGCAUGAGCAAUAAUAGGGAGGAUUACCCUGUCUUGUGCCUCAAGCGAUUCAGGAGGCAAGAGAGAAAGCUGAAUUCUGUGGUCGUUUCUAGAGCAAAAUGGAACACAGCCCAGCAUUGAAAAGGGGUUUUCUUUUCUUCUAAAAAAUCCAAUUUGGCAAAUUUGGAUGGGACCAUUUGUGUCUGAACUGGCCAAAUAGUUACAAUUAACUCAAGAAUUGCUUCUAGCAAGAUUUCAACAUUUUGCAAGCUAAGGGGCUGGACUGACUCACGAGAGUAAUGUGCUGUCAUUAAUGCACUGACCUUGAAAUAGAGGACACGCCAUGGUAAAAGGAGCUCUCUGGGGAAACAGAAAUAUAUUGAUACCACUUACGGUGUGAUUUAUUUUAGUGGACAGUGGCAGAACGUACAUAGAAGCUGGGAAAAUUGUACAAUGAAACUACAGAGAAACGUAACUUCUUCAUUCUGACCAACAACCUGAUGCUUUAACCUAAUUACUAACAGAAGUUCAUAUACCUAAUACCUAUAUAUGUAUCCAAAUAAUAGAGAGGUUGAUCAUUCUUUAAACGUAAUCAAAUUCCACCAAGGUUUUUUUCUCCGACCAAGAAAAAUUAAUAAUGCCGUUCCAGUGUAAUUUAUCAUCAGUCUACUGAUUUUCUGACAAUCCUGGAAGAUAAUAAAGAGAGCACCAUUUUAAAAUACAUUUUAUUCCUCAAGUCCACAAGGAACUAUGACGCACAGUGGGGACAAUCCAUAACAACACUUUUCAAUGUCUGUGUAAAAUCACGUGUGUGCACGUGUUUGAUUUCAAUUCUUUCCCCAUAUUUGUGUAACUCAGUUACUGCUAGAAAGAUAUAUGGGGGGGGUUAUAGGUUAUUUCUAAUGUACAUACAUUGUUGCUUUGGGAAAAUGCUAAGAAUCCCAGUGCUAUCAGAUCUUGAGGUUUCAGAGAGUGAGAUCCAGUAGCAGUGACUUCUGAGCCAGUUCUGCAGUAUCUUCGUAGGUUUCCCUAACCUUCCGUGACCACAUUUAAUCCCUGCAAUGAGGGAUGCAAAGGACAGUUUGGAUACAGUAUGAAAUCUAUAAACACCGGCUGAUCUACUGACUCACUCCAGCAAGUUGGCCACUUCUCAUGUCUUUCCUUUGAAAAGGAAGUAAAAAAUCCACCCAGAGGUCAAGUCCUCUGCUUCAGCAACAGCGGCUUCCCCCUUUAAUAACAUACACUUUUUUAAUAACAAAAACGUAUAGGCCUCUUAUACUGUAGCAAUUGUUCUCCUAGAAUCCAUUAAUUACAACGAUUCAUAAUGAUUCAAUACUUUCUUUAAGAUCAGUACGCAUUCAAAGAAUGUAGAUUUUAUUAAUAUCUGUGCAUACAUAUUCAUUAUUCGUGGUACAUGUUUUGUUAGAGCUAAAUUAAGACUGAACUGUCAGUGCUUUGUGUGCAUAUGAAUUGUUGGGAGAUCUUUUUCUGGGACCUGCACCCCCACUGAUUGUGAACUCUUGCUCUAAACCCUUCACUUGGCCAAAAUACUUUUUUCUCACUCACAACUGCUCUCAUACACCUACCCUAUAUUCUGCUCUCCACAGUGAACAAAGGGAUUCCUUUCAAUUACAGAUCGUGGCUCCACUCUUCUGAGCCUUUCAGGGCCUUCUCUCUCUCAGAGUAGAAGCUGUAGUCCUUGCCACAGCCUAUAAGGCCUUCAGGAUCUUCUGUCACCUCCCCGGCACUCUCCAGUGUAUGCUCUCUCUCUCUCUCCCAGUUCCAGAUACACUGCCCUGUUUCCUUUUCCCUGGACAACCAAGUCCAAUGGCUCCCAUCUCAAGGCUGUUGGACUUAAUAAUACCUUUGUCUGGAAUAUUUCACUACGGCUCACUCUUUCUCCAUCUUCGAGGAUUUGCUUGUAUCACCACACAAGAGAGAACUUCCCCAACCAUUCUAGUUUCAAUUACAAUUUCUGACACAUUUUUCUCCCAACUCCUCUUACCUAUUAAAGAUUUUCCUCCACAGCACUCAUCACUAUCUAAUAAAGUAUAUAGGGUGUUUGUCUAUAGUUUAUAGGCUGAGGUUCCCAUUUCAAUUAAGCCUUCAUGAGGCAGGAAGAUAAAUUUUCAUGUGUUUUUAUUCACUAUUCUAUCUCUCCUAGUUGGAACAGUGUCUGGCACAUGAUAGGUACAUAAAACUAUUUCUGCAUAGGAGUUCCUCUGGUGGCUCAGCAGGUUAAAAACCCACCUGGUAUCCAUAAGGACUGGGGUUCAAUCCCUGGCCUCACUCAGUGGGUUAAGGAUCUGAUGUUGCUUCAAGCUGUGUAAUGGGUCACAGAUGCAGCUCAGAACUGGCAUUGCUAUGGCUGUGGCGUAGCCAGUGGCUAUGGCUCUGAUUCGACCCCUCGCCUGGGAACUUCCCUGUGCUACAAGUGCAGCCCUAAAAAGGAACCCCCGCCCUCCCAAAAAAGACAAAAAAAAUUAUUAAUAAACUAGAUAGUUACUAUCUUUAUUUAACUCAAAAUAUCACGCACUUAGAAAAACCCUUUCUUGGUCAACCAUUCUGGAAAGCCGUAUCAUUCCCUCUUAAAAUUGUUAUUUUUUAAAUUCUUCCUGAGUGAAUUUUGUCUGCCCUAACUGUCACUAGCUCACUAAAUUCAGGACCUCCUUUAUCUUCCCUAAAUGCUAAUGCUAAUGACACAGUGCUAAGCUCUUAAGAGAUC
rnacentral:lncRNA from 1 species